rnacentral:rRNA from 1 species
UACGAAGGGGGCUAGCGUUGCUCGGAAUCACUGGGCGUAAAGCGCACGUAGGCGGAUCCUUAAGUCGGGGGUGAAAUCCUGGAGCUCAACUCCAGAACUGCCUUUGAUACUGAAGAUCUUGAGUUCGGGAGAGGUGAGUGGAACUGCGAGUGUAGAGGUGAAAUCCGUAGAUAUUCGCAAGAACACCAGUGGCGAGGGCGGCUCACUGGCCCGAUACUGACGCUGAGGUGCGAAAGCGUGGGGAGCAAACAGG